rnacentral:rRNA from 1 species
CGCGUAGGCGGCCUGAUAAGUCAGAUGUGAAAGUCCACGGCUCAACCGUGGAAGUGCAUUUGAAACUGUCAGGCUUGAGUAUCGGAGGGGAGUGUGGAAUUCCCGGUGUAGAGGUGAAAUUCGUAGAGAUCGGGAGGAACACCGGUGGCGAAGGCGACACUCUGGACGAAUACUGACGCUGAGGCGCGAAAGCGUGGGAGCAAACA